CAGUCAUGCCACAUUGAAAUACUGGUUCCCGUACAAUCACCAAAGUUGAGCAAUGUUGAGUCUGAUCAGUACUUAGAUGGGUGACCACUUGGGAAUACCAGGUGCUA